rnacentral:rRNA from 1 species
UACGGGGGGGGGCAAGCGUUGUUCGGAAUUACUGGGCGUAAAGGGCUCGUAGGCGGCCAACUAAGUCGGACGUGAAAUCCCUCGGCUUAACCGGGGAACUGCGUCCGAUACUGGAUGGCUCGAGUGUGGGAGAGGGAUGCGGAAUUCCAGGUGUAGCGGUGAAAUGCGUAGAUAUCGGGAAGAACACCCGGUGGCGAAGGGCG